GAUAAUACAGCAUAUUCCUUCCUCAACAAAAAUUUUUUUAAGCUGAGUAUAUAAAAGAACAAACCAGGGUCUUCUAGUGAGUGCUUCCCUUUGCUUAGAGGGAAAGAGAAUACCUGGUGAACUAGAGUUACCCAAGGCAAG